CUAGUACGGGAGGCAGCAGUGAGGAAUAUUGGUCAAUGGGCGAGAGCCUGAACCAGCCAAGUAGCGUGCAGGAUGACGGCCCUAUGGGUUGUAAACUGUCUUUUUAUGGUGGGGAUAAAGUGAGCUACGUGUAGUUUUAUUGCAGGUACCACAUGAAUAAGGACCGGCUAAUUCCGUGCCAGCAGCCGCGGUAAUCUAG
rnacentral:rRNA from 1 species